UGGGGAAUAUUGCACAAUGGACGGAAGUCUGAUGCAGCAACGCCGCGUGCGGGAUGACGGCCUUCGGGUUGUAAACCGCUUUUUCUCAUGACGAAGUUUUUUGACGGUAGUGGGGGAAGAAGCACCGGCUAACUACGUGCCAGCAGCCGCGGUGAUACGUAGGGUGCGAGCGUUGUCCGGAAUUAUUGGGCGUAAAGAGCUUGUAGGUGGUUUGUUGCGUCGCUAGUGCAAACUCAGUGCUUAACGCUGAGCCUGCUAUUGAUACGGGCAGACUAGAGGAGGGUAGGGGAGGAUGGAAUUCCCGGUGGAGCGGUGGAAUGCGCAGAUAUCGGGAGGAACACCGGUGGCGAAGGCAGUUCUCUGGGCCUUUCCUGACGCUGAGAAGCGAAAGCGUGGGGAGCGAACAGG
rnacentral:rRNA from 1 species